CCGUGCUAGGCGGGGAGGUAGCGGUGCCCUGUACCCGCAAUCCGCUAUAGCGGGGUUGAAUUCUUGCCCGAGGGUUUGGCUUGUGGGGCCCGACCUGUGUAAGGGGUGUUGACGGUUGGGUCUUGUGCGACGGAGGUUCCUGAACCGUGUCAGGUCUUGACGGAAGCAGCACUAAGGGAAGCCCUCCGGGUGCCGCAAGGGUGCCUGACCUGAGCUACCUGUGCAGGUAACGCCCGGAAGUCAUUAUUCGACGGCAGGUGCACGG
rnacentral:SRP_RNA from 1 species